AGUGGUUAGGUAGUGUCUUCCUCCUCCUUCAGCUCUCAAGAUUAAUUACUUGUCUUCAAUAAAGACCAAAGGAAGAGGCUCAUGUAGCUCUGGAUUACAGCUAGGAUGGAGACUUUUCCCAGAACAGCAAAGAUGUCAGUAACUGCAACACAGUGUUAAGACACUGUCACUAAGCAAGGGUGCACUGAUAAGGUCAGUUUAUGAGAAAAAGAGGUUAGGUCCUCUUUCAGCCAAUUUGUUCUUAUAAAUUGUUUACUAUUGUUAAAGUAAACAGCAGUUAAGAUAAGCUUUCUUCUAAAACACUCUUUCUGUCAAAAGGAAAAUGGGUAGGCCUGGGAUGCAAAUGUUUUUUCAAGGCAAUUUGAUAUAUACUGCCUUUCCUGCAAGACAGUUUUUAGUGGUUAAGGAAAAAUUGACUGUCACCUUGUACCUAGUCAAGUAACAUGUAGGUCACAAAUGCCUAAAUGUUCACGUUUUGGCAGUAAUCGAUAUGGCCAAAUGUAAUGGCCAUCCUUACACUGUCUGUCAUAUACAGGGGGAAAAAAAAAGUAUGAAAAAAAAUAAUGGUUCAGAAUUCUGACCAGUCUACCAACAAGAGACAAGCUUGUGGGCUCAGAGGACAGCUGAGGUUGGAAGGGACUUCUCACAAACAUCUAGUCCACCUACUUGCUCAGAGUGUCAGUUAGAACAGGUUAGACCUGGAGCAUCAUAGUCAUAUUUUGAAUAUAUUGAAGGAUGGAGACUCCACAGCCUCUCGGGGCAACCUGUUCCAGUGUUUAAUCAUCCUUAUCAUAAAAAGAUUUUUUUUCCUAUGUUUAAAUGGAUUUUUUUUGUACUUCACUUUACACACAUUGCCUGUUGUCCUUUCAGUACUGCCUUUGGGCAGUACUGAGAAUUGUCUAGCUCCUGGAAUAUGCUACCUGGUUCCCAUACUCUACCCUCCUAGUCUAAAAGUUUUUUUUCUGAUAUCAUGUCCUUACAAGCCAUAAUUUGUGACCAUUAACCCUUCUUAUAUUAUCUGCCAAAAAGGAGAAGAGCUUGGCUCUGUCAUCUUUGUAGCUCUACUUCUACUGCUGUUAAAUCAUCCUUUAGGCUACUCUUUGCUAGGAAUAAACAAGCCCAGCUCCUUCAGGCUUUCCUCAGAGGUGAUGUAGUUCAGCCCCUACAGAGGGGCUUCCAACCAGCUUGGUAGUCCCUCUGGUCCCUCUCCAGUUUCUUCUUCUGGAACAAAACUUUCUAUCCCAUGUGUGGCUUCACAAGCACCAAGUAAAGGGGAACUAUAGCAAUUAUAACUUCCCUUAAACAAGCCAUGGUCCUCCUAAUGUAGUCCCAUAUGCAGCUUGCCUUAUUCACUCAUUUAUUUUUCUGCCACAUCCUACAUUCAUGCUCUGAAACAUAAAUAUGUAAUCAUUGUUUGAAAUGAAUCCAUAGAUUUAAUGAUAUUGUUAAAACAACCUAUGCUGCUCUUGAAAGAUAUACCCCAAAGUUCUUGGUUUCAUGUUCUGGUGACAAACCAUUUGACUACAAUAAAUUAACAUUGCAGCAAAAAAAAAAAAGAAAUUGUUCAACCAAACUGAGCAUUUCUUAGCAAUCUGAUACUUGGCACACCUUCAGAGUUUGCAGACUUAUUCUUCUGCUGGUGUUUGUGAUGGGAGAAAGCAGACUUUUGCUGCAAGAAUGCAACCCAUCUGAAAAUCAAAGAUUUCUUAGUCAAGGAGGCCAGACAGUAUCACAAAUUCCAGAAUUAAUGUGUGGUAUAUGCAGAAUCUGAUUGUAUCUGGGAAAAUACUUCAAAGUCAGAGCAUGACAUUCAGAAGUAUUGACAUGCACCUCCACCCAUCCCUUGAAAAACUCUCACUUAAAACGCAAAGCUUCCAUCCUGGCCUAGAUGAGCGAUCUUGGCUGAAUUCCCAGUAGACCUUGCAGUCUGCCUAAACCAGGCUUGGGUGGACCCUGAAAUGAGAUAUAGUCUCUCUUAUUUCAUUAUAAAGGCAGUGGCAUUGAAAGAAAAAGAAAACGUAGAGAAUUGUAUUCAAGCCAACUAAUAGUAACUUCAAGAAAAGGUUAAGAGUUGGGAAGAAAAAAAAAAAAAAAGUCUCUUUACAAUAAUGAAGAAGCAGUAGACUGAUAUUGCUGUUAUUAUUAUUAUUAUUAUUAACACCCAGUGCAAGGCAUUUAACAGCUUCCACUCCCAGUAGCUUCAGUGGGAGAGGUUGUACGUUGUCAACUGCUUCCCUCUUCUUUAGCAAAACCUUGAACCAUCUGAGACACUUAGCUCAUGCUAAAUGAUCAUAUGCCAAGUAUUGUGAUGAUGACUGAUCUUGCUGCCUGAGUGGAGUUACACAAUGAGCAAGAGUGGAAAUAAGUAGGUGAUUAAAAGCACUUGUGCUCUUAAGAACGCGCUUGUGUGAGUCCCUGACAUCUUGAGCUACAGCACUGUCUUAGAAAACACUGCUGCCCAGUGACACCCAUCCACUUGACUGCCUCCACAGACAUACAACCAGCAACCAGUAGAGCUUGAGCCAAAGGACACAGACAGUGCUCCCAAUGAAGGGACAUAUACCUCUCAGAGGGUUACAGUCAGGGAGCAGCAAGAACAAGACUGACCCACAGAGGGGGACAAGCCAAGAGUGAUCCCAAUGCAGGCUGUGCCUUCAUCAGCAAGGUAUUAUCCCAUGAACAUAGCAGGCAGAGUAAGGAGCUACAGUAGGCACUACCAACAGCCCCCAGAACAGAAAUUGAUGAGCCAGGGCCCACCCUGGGGCCCCAAUCAGGAGCAAGAGAAGACAAGGCUGGAAACAAGCUACAACAUAUAAUCAAGGGGUCCAUCUAGGAUACAAGCUACCUACAGCACAAGUCUAAGGUCCAUCUGGGAGGCAGGGAUGGAGACAGGCAUGCCUACAGUAUGGCUCAUGACAGGACUGUAUGUCCAGUACUGAAUGUAAAUUGAGCCCCUGAGCUGAAAAUGGGGGGUUGGGGCCAUUAAGGACUAUCAGUGCUCUCAGGGCAGUGCUUUUAUGUCACAUAGCCCUUAUGUUUGUGUGAGGCAUUUCUCUGUAUUAUAGAAAGAUGCCACAUCACAGAGUAAGAGCAAACAGGAAGCAACUUAUGCAGGAAGCACAAGCAAUCAACCUGGAUCUCCUCAUUCACAGGGACUAAGCACAUGAGCCCAGAAAGACUGAAUCCCAUUUACAAGAAAUCAUUAAAUGUUGUACUAGACCAGCUGAUAUUAGUAAGGCCACACAAUCCCUGUUGUCGACAGCUUAUUCGCAUAAUUCAUGGCUGCCUCCAAUUAUCUGUGGGAGAUUUGCAAGUCGGACUCUCAGCCUGUAAAGGAGGUUCCACAUGGGCAAGCGCUUAAUGAACAGAUUGGAUUAUAAACACUGGCUAAUCUUUCCCACAUGUACACCUGAAGAAUAUCACAAGUGACAGCUGUUUAAAUUUCCAAGGAAAUUAAUGAUUCCUAAAGAGGCAAGGCUUAUCAAGGCUUUGACUGGGACUGAUAACGGACAACCGCCAAGGGGCAAAUUGUUUAUAAUAGUCUAUAAGUGCCUCAUUCUAUGGGUUCAUCUUGGAAACUUUUAUUGAUGUGGUCCCUUUUAUUAACGUUUGUGCUGGCAAAGAGUAAAACAGCUUUGUUCAAUCUACUGAUGAUAUUGGGCUACUAAGGCCUCUAAUGAGCAUCUCGUAUCUUCAGGUCGCAGUCAGUUUAAAAUGAUUGGUACUGAGGCCAGGAUGCCCUGUGCUCAGCUGAGCCUUACUAGAUGGCUAUAUUGUGCUUACCCCAUCCAGAACUCACAUCCUUGCAGGACUGAUUUGUGUGACUGCUGAAACAUUAACUAGCAUAUGGUAGGUCAUUUAAUUCAUUCACUAUCUAGAGAAUUGAGAGUGGGAGGUAGGAAGAGAGUAAUCCAGGUUUACCGUAAGAUUAUAACCAACCUCUUCUAAUAGACCACAGAUGGAAAGAGCAAGCAACUUUUUCUGCCCUCUUUUGCAGAAAAUCUGUACCUUUACAACAGGACACAAAACCUGUGUCAGUUUCUUCCCCAGUAUUCCUCCUUCCCCAUGGAGCACAUGUCAGGAAAUACUCCAUGAGGACUUUCCACAGUCUAGUUCCAUUUUAAAGAGGGUGUCAUGAAGAAAGGGCACCUAUGCCCUCCAGUAAAAUUGGCCAAGUGGAAAGAGCUUUGUGGAACUCAGGGGUCAAGAAAAAAUGGGUUGACAGCUACAGCAAGCCAUUUAGCACAAGCUACAAGUACUGCAAUUCCCUUGCAGGAUUGGGUAGCUAAGGGAUUUUUUUUUCCUGCUGGGCAAUGAGCGUUUCACAAAGGAGCAUGGAACUAAUUUAAAUUCAAGACUACAGACAAAUCAAGCAGCCCACAAACAUUUUCAGCUUUUUCUUGCAUAAGAAUAACUCUGUAAUCCAUCACUGAGAUCACUGCUGAAGUAUCUGGCCACAGCAAGGGACGUAUUCCUUCUACCGUGCUGGUGUAAACCAGAACUGACUCAAAUGAAACAAGUGGAUGAAGGUCAUGGUUACAGUCAGGCUAAAACCAAUGGAACUGGAAAGAGUCUGUAUGAAGACUCUGCCCCAUCUCCUGGCCCAGGAAGGCCAGGUCCACAGAAAUCUGGAGAUAACCAGCUGACCAGUGGGAAAUGUAUGAUGGAGGCCCCUCUGCACAGCAGGCAAGAGAGGCAGAAGUAGGGAAAGGAAGAUUACUUUCCAUUUCUCUAUGGCUCUGCACCUCUGCUUCUGUUAUCACUGUAUACCAGUCCCAUCCUAAUGCAACUAAUUUUAUAAUACACCUAUACACCACUUCAGGAUUUUUUUCUGCUCUGAAAGACCACUGUUCAAAUGCUUAUGCUGGAUUCUCAAGGUCAGCUAGCUCUAUCUGAUGAAAGACUCUCUAUGGCAGGAAAAAAAAAAAGUCUCAACAAAACCCUUUUCUUACAGGACUAAAAAUUUGCUCAUAUGUGUUGAGAGAUUUUAGAAGAUGAUGUGCAACAGUGCCAUCUGAUGGGCUUAUUCAAAAGGGUAAACGAGGUGACUAAACUGGAGACCUGUCAAACUUCUGCCCUCCGUCCUAAGCAAAAUGCUAUGACUAAUACUGGAUUUGAUUAAAAGAAGGUGCUGUCCAAUUGAUUGUUAUUAACAUAGCCUUUUCCCAUGAACCUGUGUCAAACUACUUUUUGAAAUACAAUUUUUUCUUUUUUUUUUUUUUCCUUUUUUUUUUUUUGAUAAAGGUAAUAGAGUUAGAAUAGUUUCUAUGGUGGGAUAUUUAAUUUAGCAUUGCAGAAUGUUUUGAUUAAAACACUAUGGCAAAUAAAACAUGAUUCUCAUGUUAAAUGAAUUAAUUACUGGGUAAAAAGCCCUCAAGAGAAAUGUCAAAGCAAGAAGCAGUACAGGAGAGAUGAGGGUCCAGAGGUCUCUCGGGAAAAGCUGGUGUGUCACAUGGACAGAAUAUAGAGCUUCCUAGGAUGACAGAAAAAGAGAGGAAGUAUUAUGUAAUUGAUCAAUAUCUAUAUGUUUUCUUUACCUCUUUCACAAUGUGAACAGCUGUGGAUUUUAUCCUUGGAGAAUAUAUUGUUCUUAAAUAGUUUUUAGGAAUUUUGGGGACCAAAAUCAACAUAGCUUUUUAUUAAAACCUAAUUAAUUCUUCUGUAAGACUCCAGUGAACUGACUUGUUUAAGGAACGAGACAAAAAAAAGAUCAUGGAAUAUUUUAAUUGAUUUACAUCUUCAUUAUUGUAUUACAGUAUAGGUAAAACAAACAAAUUUCUCCAGGUCUGAGCUCCUGUGAACAUAUAGACUUGGAGAGCAACAUUUAUUUCUUGCUGCAAUGAAAUAGAAAGAGCCAUCCCUGGCCACAAAAAUCAGUUCAAGGCCCUGCAGUGUAAACAACUUUUAUCGAUGAGCAAAGAGAAAACCUUGAAUACAAUCUCUAAAUAACAAAUAUACUGCAUAUAUGUAAAUAAUGUAAAGAAAUGAUUUUUGAAACCUCGACAAUUUGGUUAGUAGGGUUGAGAUCAGAGUUAUAUUGUUCAGCAUGGGAAAAUGAAAAUCUUAAGGAAAACAUAAUACAUCUUUUGGGGACUCACUUUAUCUUCAGUAAGAAGUCUGCUAAAAAAAAAAAAAAUCUAUGAUGGAUAACUGGUUGAAUAUUAACUGGCUUCUGUUGUGUGUCUGUUUUCAACUUCCUUCCUAACUAAUAACUUUCACAAACAAAAAUCCCUACAUUUUUUCCCCACAAAUUGAUUAGUCUUGGAAACAAAAGCAAUGCUAGACCAUUGUCAAGCAAAAUUAAUUUUUUACAGACUGAAAGUAAUAAGAACAAUUUUACUUUAACUCUUGAUUUUCCUUGGAGUUCUAACCCCUGGCUAGGGGCUGCUUGUGAAGGAAAGCUCUGUACAAAAGUCUUUCUUAAAGGGGGAUUAAGUUUGUGGGAUAUGGAAGGCAAGGAUACAAAGAAAGAUCUAUGUAGAUUCAGGAAAACGUUGUUUCAUUUGUGGUUAUUUGGAGUGAGAGAAGGAAAGGGAGAAUUACAUGUGUUGGGUGUGUGUGUGGAGAGAGGGGGUUGGUGAGAGAUAGGCAUCUCAUACCUAAAGAAAGCAUCAUUGCUGCUUUUGAAAAACUGAAAAUAAAUAUGCAAACACUAUGGAUGAAACAUCUUAUUGUACUUGACAUUUCCUGGAUCUACUCACAACAGCCUUUGAUAUUAAAAGAAGAACAAACAGUCCUGUGCCAAAAGCUGUUAAUAACCUGUUUCAUAGCAAAGCUCACUUCAUAGUGGUACCCACAGAUAACUUCAGCUUUAAAACAAGCAACCUGUGGGAUAACAGAAGAAAAGAGAAGACUAUGUCUGUCUGGACAUACUGUUCUCCCAGAAAGGGUAUUUAGAUCCUAUAAUUGGUUCUUGUUAAAUACAGGAGCUAUUUUGCAGUAAAGGCAUAAUUGAAAAACUCAGGUAAUCAGGCUUUUCUUUCAUGUGUGUAUAUGUGUGUGAUUCAAUUAUGCAGCUAAAAAGGACCAAAUCCAGAUGUUCUUUGCUUACACAGCAGAGAUCAUGUCUAAGAAACACCAAAGCUUGCUGUGAGCAGCACUGCAUUGCUGUAACAGGACAUGGCUAUAACGCUUCGUGAUCUGAGGAAAAGAUAAGAAGCAAAUAUGCAGUGCCAUAUCUGUGCUUUCAUCUACUUUUGUUAUUGAUUCACAAAUCCCCUGGGAGUCAUUCUACAAAGAAUUUUUUAUAUUUAGAUUGGUAUUUACCAACUAAUCUUCUUCUUCUGCCUCAUACCACCUUUGUCAGUAAGUCUCAUUCUGGUUAUGGGCUCUAAGAAUGCGUGAUGAAAAGGUGUACAGCCAGAAGCCAGUAACAUUGCCAGAGGUGAAGGCACAUAAACCUCUGUGAGUGAGUGAGUGUGGGUGUGUACAUAGCUGCCAUGAUCCAGCUGCUUCUGGCCCCCAGAUAGAGUUCCUGGAAGUUCAUCUGUCUGGUCUAGAGGUACUUCUGUGAUAAAGCAGAUUUAAUGCAGAAGAGCUCAACAUGCAAUAACAUAAGCUGUAUGUUUUCUUUCUUCCCUCUCACCAAAAGCUAGUAUUCAGUUUCUCUCCUGUCCAAGUCAGAUUAGCUUCCCAUAACACCAUUCACUCACGACAGUCCCACUAUUUGAUUUCAUGACAAAUUGAGCUUCAAACUAAUACACUUGCUUUUGGAGCUGAAUGAAGAGGAUGCUGAAAGAGCCCUGGGCAGUUGUAUGUGGGAAGGGGCAAAGCUGUGUAUUUAUAUCCUGUCUUUCUGCCUUUGUGUCUGAGAGUAUAUGAGAUCUCAUGCUGAACGAGAAAGUUCAUCUAUGAAUUGCAACAUAAUGUAAUGUGCAGCACAUGUGGAAAGGAACAAUUUCAUUUACAGACCAUGAACAGGUGUGGCAUAUGCAGUUGUUUAGUUAUUUUUUGUUUUCCAAGAGGAAAACAAAUCUUGUGAUUUGUUUAUUUAUUUAUUUAAUGAAGAAUCAAUAUUUUUAGAAGUUUCUCAGUAGAAAUAUUAUCCUUGUACUUCAUUAACACUGAGUGACCACAAAAAGACUAUAGAGAUAGUUCACUGGUUUAAAGAGAAGCCGUUAGCUUAUUAUUUCUUUUUAAGUUAGUGCCACUUUUUUAGUUUUUAUUAGUUACAAAUGUAAUGUUUCACUGCAUAUUUAACAUAAAUUCUAUAGUUUUAUGAGAGCAUUUAAAAUAUGAAGAAUUCUCAUGAAAUAAAGGAAGGAAUUAAACAAAAAUUAACAAGGUUUCAAAUGCAGCAGAAACAAGAAACAUGGCAAAGAGUCUGUAGAGACAAUAGACAAUUCAGCUGUAAUAGUUUUCCAGAAAGAUAAGUCCAUGAAAGAAAAGCUAAAUCAAGUACUUACUUAUUAAGGGAUGUUUCCACCACAGCUCCUCUUUACAGAGGGCUGUUUCAAAUUGCCAUGUCAGAAGAGAUUUUUGAAUAAAAUUUAUAAAAUGAGAAGUAGCAAACCACAAGGACCAGAUGGUAUUCACCCACCCAUUCUGAAGGAAUGCACGUAUCAAUGUGAAAAUGUUAUGUGUAAUCUGUCACUUGGAAUCAAUCUCAUUCCUAGAGAAACAGAAAACAAUGAAUGUGACAAAAUUUUUAAGCAGUCAGGAAAGAUUUGGGGAACUAUAGAUCAAAAAAUCUCACUUCCAUACAGGGGAAACUAUGAAGGCUGUAAUAAAAUCUAGAAUUAGUAGCAACAUGGAAAAAUUUUAUAUAAAAUGAAAGAGUCAAAAUUGCUUCUCUAGACGGAAGUCACAACUGUCAUAUUAAAUAUUUCUUCAAAUUAAUUAGUGAGAAUAUUGCUAUGAUAUUCUAGUUGACUACACCCAAAAAGCUUUCAACCACUUCCUUAACUAAGCCUCUUCAAGAAGCUGUCAUGGAAUAGUAAGGUGGACAGGCUUCACAUGGAUUAAAAAGAUAAGAAACAAGGCAGAAAUAACCGGUCAUUUUGCACCAGGGUGACUUUACCAAUGGAGCUCCACAGGAAUCUGUACAACCUGAGCUUUCUGAGAAUACAGAAUUACUCAGAGCUAUGAAACUAAUCCUGUCUGCAGAGACUUUGAGAAUGAAAUUCUGAUGGUUUGAACAGUGAAGCAGCAAUCGACAUUAAUAAACAGAAAGCAAAAGAGAUGGGGAAAUCAAUGACAGUUACCCAUACAUUUAUGCCUCUAAAUUUAAUAUUAAUACUGACAUUCAGGAAAUAGUUCCACAUCAUUAAGCCACUGUAUGAAUCCAUGUUGAGGGCUGCAUGUAAGUCUAACCCUUGUGUAUCAAAGUGUAUAGGAACCUUAACAAAUACACAGAGAAAGAAGUCAUUAGCAUAGCAAAACUGUUAAGAAAGGACAGCUAACUUCUGACACUGCAACACCACUGAAAAACAUGUUAUUUGAAAAAAAAAAAAUAUCUGAUUACCAAAGGAAAAAAAAUUCUUAAAAGAAAAAAGCUUUUAAAAUCUUAGAAAUAUCAUAGACUUGUAGAUUCAUUUAGGUUGAAAAAGACCUUCAAGAUCACAGAAUCACAGAAUUUCUAGGUUGGAAGAGACCUCAAGAUCAUCAAGUCCAACCUCUGACCUAACACUAACAGUCCCCACUAAACCAUAUCACUAAGCUCUACAUCUAAACGUCUUUUAAAGACGUCCAGGGAUGGAAGAUCAUCAAGUCUACUGUAUUACAAUCCCAGAUUUACCUAUCCAUUUAUUUUCCCUCCAGGUGAGACUGGCAUUUACUAAGAUGUUGAUCAUUCUUCAAUGAUGAAAACAUCUCUAUAUUAUGUCAUGUCCAAAAAUAUAUUUUUUUUCUAGAGACAUCAGUAUGGACCUUUUAUUUUUAGCCUGCAUUGGCUUCUGUUUUGUUGGUUGGAUUUGUAUUUUUUUGUUUGGUUGGUUGGUUGUUGUUUUUAUUGGCAUGUGGAGCUGGGGAGAUGGAGGAAGACAAAGACUUAUGCCAAAGUUAGGGCUUAGGGCUUUGUUUUGAACAUACAUGCAACACUUAGAAAUCAAAUGCCAGUUAUAUCUUUUCUCGUGAUUGCAUUUAAAGUGGAGUCAUCCAAAUAAAAAAGAUGUCCCCAGGAUCUCUUAAGCAAUAAACAGGGAAUGAGUUUCCUGAGCAUAGCAAAAAGGUUAAUGUUAAAUGGAGAUUGAAGACAGUUACUGAAAACCUAUUCUGGAAGCAAAAGACAACAUUUCUCCAAACAGAGAGGAAAUAAAAGCCUAAAGUAAGGCUCUGAAGUUUAGAAGAGUUAAAUUCCAGUGAGAAUGGGUGGUUUAACCAGAACUUUUAUCCUGCUCCACUCUUAGCACUUUUUUCCAAUAUUUCCCUUCCCUUCCUUCAAGAUUAUCUUCUGCAAAAUCUGGUUCUUGCAGCCACAAGGAACUGCCUGUGAGGAUUUUGAAGGAGAUGCUAAGCAAGGGAAAAAGGAAGGGAAUGGGUGGAUCCUGGUGAGCACAAAGGAAUUGAUCCCAUGUGUGGAAGAAAUGCUUUUCUGCAGUGUAGGCAGUAUCUGGGCAAGCCCAAAAUUCCUAGGCCUGUUUCUCCAGCAUUGAAAGAUAGUGACACUCAUGGCCACAUUUUCUGAGAUACUAAGAUCCUGUGAUCAAUUUUUGUGAAACUCAAAAAUGUUUCUAAUGUCCAAGGUAAUGGAAUUACAGCACCUGCAUUAAAAAAAAAAAUAAAAAUUAAAUUUUCAGCAACAGCAGGUAUAUUCAUUCUUUCUUUCUUUUGGCCUUUCUUUAGAUUUAUGUGUAUGGAUAAGGAUCUAUCUGUAUUGCAUAGGGGAUUUUUUUUAAUGUCAUUUUAACAAAUAUUUAUAAAUAAUACCGUAACAGGCAAUUUCAGAACCUCAACCUGUCCUCCCCUUCCAGCAUUUCCUCUGGCCUCUUUUACAAGUGGAUAUUUUAGUCUGUCCCAAGGCUAGUGACUAUGACAAUCACUUGAAAAACUCAUAUACACAUAGACACACAAGCACUGAUAACACCACAGGUCAUGUUUCAACAAGAAAAUACUUUUUUCCUCACUUUCAGUAGAGCAGAAAACUCCUCUUUAUAUGUAUCCCAUUCCUCCCAACACCUACAGCUGCUAUACACACAAGAGGCACAUGUCCCAAUAAUAUUUCCAAAUCUCUCUUUCACUUAACAGAAGGAGUGUUUUCUUAGCAAAAAGCGAAGCAAGUAGCCUCUCUUCUUGAUUAAAACUCUCUGACUUUUGGAAUCUCCUACUAAAUUAUAUUUGUGAUACAGGAAGGGUGUAGAAGGGAGGAAAAGAAUUGAAAAACUCCAGCCUUGUGUCAAUUAUCAAGUGUUUUAAAUAUAGAGAUUUUCCCAUCAACUAGAAACUAAAUCCACUUGUUUGUUGCCAGGGAAAAUGGGUGAAGAUGCCAUUUCUAAAGUGUGUAAAGACUUCGUGGUUCAUUUCACAAUAAUAUUUGUUGAACUUUUGUGGCAUGCUUUCAGAGGAAACAAGAUGGGGCUGCGUUAGUCAUGAUUUGCUAAAUAGUACAUCCUAAUCCUUCCUAGUUUUUGUUUAUUCAUGCCUUGCUGUGGGAUUUACAGUAUUAGCUCAUGGAAAGAAAAAGAAAAUCCCAGCACAUAGAGGAAUGCAGCCUUCCACUCCUCUGCUUAGAGGCAGGUUUGGAUAUUUGUUUAAGGAUGAUUUUCUUCACUUCUGACAGAAACACAAAUGCACAGAGAAUGGGCAAAGGGGAUAGAAAUAGGUAGUCUGUUUCUCAGGCACCACUUUGCUACACCUGUGAGACUACGUUCCACAUAUGAGAUGUCCUGGAAAUCUUGAGCUGUCCGGCAAGGAAAUGUAGGGUGAGCUGCACCUUUCUCCUGAGAGCACACCAUCACAUCGUGCCUCUGCCCGCUGCCUCUCAUGGUCAAGGCUCUUAUCAAGUAGACACUAUCUGACUUCAGAUACCCCAGGGCACCCUCUUCAGUCCCAGCACCCUGGCCUCUGUUUUGUCCUCUCUGGGCUCCUUCCUGAGCAAUGACACACUGAGAAUUUGGCCACAGAGGACAGAGGAACAGCGGUAAGGAGGAUGCAAGUUAUGGUAGAAAUGUUCCCACCAGCUCUCCCCUGCCUCAUUAGGUAUUUUCAAAGCUUGCUCUCACUAUCCAUCUCUCCAGACUGAAGUCGCUGAUAAAGGAGCUCUUCUUACUUUUUCUCACCUGCUCUGAAACAGGAUCUGUUUGGUGUGAUAGGCCCUUUUGUCAGAGGGGAGAAUGUCACUUUUUUGUGUUGUUCUGUUUCCUCUUGACUCUUGUUGGCCAUAACCUUGGCAGAACCAAGGACGGUGCUGCGGGUCAUGGAGUGCCAUCCCACUGGCAGGGAGCAGGCACGGUGGGGUGGUAAGCAAGGCAGCAAACGUGAUGAAAUCCUUCCUGUGCUUUUCUGGUCCAGGUGAUCCUCUCGGUGAUAGAUCUGGUCUGAAACUCUGCCAUGGCUGAGGAGGGCAGGUGCAAAGGGAAACCAAAGCCUGUGGUGCAUAACGCAGUCCUUAUGAGCUGAAAAGGAGCAUUCGAUAUGCCAUGGAUGGAGAUGCUGACAGCAAUGACCUGUGUUUUGCAGGAGAAUGUUUCAAAGAGUAAACGCACUUCCUUUGAAAAUCCCAGCACAGAGCCAGCAUGGGCCUGGAGAGCAAUAGGUCUGCUCAGUGAUGACUACCAUCAGAGAACUAAGGAAGAAAUAGUUUAAUUUUAUUAUACCUUAGUAUGUUCCUCAGCUGCCUAGCAUAUGGAGCAAGGACCAUGGCAUUCAGGAAGACUGGAUUUCUGUUCCUUGGCCUGUUGAGAUCUCUAAGGAUGAACUUAUACAAGUCUACUCUGCUCUGGGCACCUCAACUUUUUUCAUCUCAAGUCUUUGCAGCUCUUGAGAAGCUGAAUAUCAAAUAUUAUCUAAAAUUUUUUGAAACUAUUUUUAGACUUCAUCAGUCUAUCAGUCCUCACAUCAGUUUCUGUAAACCUCUCCUUUCCAGUAAAAAUAUAUUUUCCUACACAAAUUACUGUGAAAAUAAUGCUGUGAAACUCCAUAAACAGGAUGAAUGUGUGUUGUGUGACUGAUUUGUAACACAUAAAAGACUGGGCUAUGAAGUGAUUGGGAUAACAGGAACAAAAGUAUACAUAAUUCAUUAGUUUAAAUCUGACUGUACCUUGCAAAUUUUAUUAUGAUUUGUUAAUGAGUCAUAUAUUCUUCUUUGUAACACAGGAUUUUAACAUGCUUUUUCAAUUGCAGUAAAAAUUCCUUUUGGCUA